GCCUGGCUGGCUCAGUCGGUAGAGCAUGCAACUCUUGAUCUUGGGGUUGUGAGUUCAAGCCCCACGUUGGGUA
rnacentral:tRNA from 1 species